rnacentral:rRNA from 3 species
GAUUUCUGGUAUAAUGUACCUGGCCCGCGCCCGUCAGGGUUGUGAGUGCCGGCGCGCGUUUACCAUCCUUCUAGAAAACAGGCCUGUCAUUAACUUGGUGGGUUUGCGAUCUAGAUCUUUUACUUUGAAAAAAUUAGAGUGUUUAAAGCAGGCUUUUGCUAUGAAUACAUUAGCAUGGAAUAAUAAUCUAGGACUUCGGUUCUAUUUUGUUGGUUUCUAUAACUGAAGUAAUGAUUGAUAGGGAUAGUUGGGGGUGCUAGUAUUGGCCGGCCAGAGGUGAAAUUCUUGGAUUCGGUCAAGACUAACUUAUGCGAAAGCAUU